ACAACUAAAUCGCAAACAAGUCUCUCUACAGAGGACGCGGCAGAAUCGAUCUUGUUUACGUUCCAAUAUUGUCGCCAACGGUUAAGUUUUUGAAUGGCACACGUGAACAGAGUCGAUUCGCAGUGACAUUUUGUAUUCCUGGAAUGUGCGCUGGUGUCAAGCAAACAUCAUACGAAGUGCAGCUGGUCCAGACUUUACAUGGCAACUUGUGAAUAGAACUUGAGUGGCAUGUGCGCAUUUGAUUAAUGCAAGCUACAGCGGUAGUAUUAUCUAUAUUAAUACCUUAACAUGAUGGCUUUUUAGUUCCGAA